GUCCCGUCGAGCGUUACGACCUCCCCCCCCCCUCCCGGUAGGAGAGACGCCUCGAUAGGACGGUCGCCCGUCCGGGUCGCGGGGUCAUUACUUCCGGUCCAUCCGGCGCCAUCGACGCGCACGUGGAAGUUUUACCGGUGUUAUCGUUGUUCGGUUAUUGUCGCGCGUUUACCGUACAAAGUGUACCGUUGUCACGUCUCAUGACGUUGCGCGCAACGCGCUGUAAAAUAACAACACUAACAAUUAUAUUGUAAAAUCAUUGCAAAAUCUCACGAGUUGCAUGUAUAUACGUAUCGUUAUACGACCUCUUUACCCGAUUGAUGUUUUUUUUUUUUUUUUUUUUUAUUAAAACACACACACACACACACACACACAUAUAUAUAAAUAUAUUUUUAUUUUUUUUUUUUUCGUGUAUAAAUUGUUAAUAAUAAUGAUAUUUUAUAUUAUAACAAUAUGGAAAAUCACCGUAACCUGCGUUACGAGUGGCGCGCAGAACAAUGUGAAUACGUAACGAAAAAUUAAUCGAUUAGUAUUAUUGUGCAUUAUAAAAUGUUAUUGUAUUAUCGUAUAGUCGGCCGUAAUAUUAUGAUAGUCGUCGGAUUUUUUUUUUUUUUUAAAAUCCUUUAGUUUUUUAAUUUUAUUUUCGUACGGCGAUUCACAACUACCGCGACCGCCCGCGUAGCGGAACCGCCACGUACGUAAUCAUUAUUAUUAUUAUUAUUAUUAUUAUUAUUAUUAUAAUUAUUAUUAUUAUUAUUAUUAUUAUUAUUAUUAUAAUUGUAUACCUAUACUCUAUUCUACAUUAUAGGAUUCUCGCAUAUCUAAUUUAACAUUAUUAUAAUUACGUUAUUUUUACGGUAAAUGUAGAUUUUCUAAUUAUAGUAUAUAGCUAAAGUGAUCGAAUUUUUUUUCCGGGAUUUUUUAUUUUUUCUUUGAUUUUAUUUGUUUUAUUUCUAACGUGUACAUUAAAAAUAAUAUAUUAUAUUUGUGUCGUGACGAAGCGAUAUUGUUUAAUACGAAAUGUUUAAAAAAAAAAAAAAAAAAAAAUCGAUAUUAUAAUAAUAUACUAUUAUUAUAUUAUACAUUGUAUCAUCAAUAAACGAG